rnacentral:rRNA from 1 species
AUUGAACGCUGGCGGCAUGCCUUACACAUGCAAGUCGAACGGCAGCACGGGUGCUUGCACCUGGUGGCGAGUGGCGAACGGGUGAGUAAUACAUCGGAACAUGUCCUGUAGUGGGGGAUAGCCCGGCGAAAGCCGGAUUAAUACCGCAUACGAUCUACGGAUGAAAGCGGGGGACCUUCGGGCCUCGCGCUAUAGGGUUGGCCGAUGGCUGAUUAGCUAGUUGGUGGGGUAAAGGCCUACCAAGGCGACGGGCAGUAGCUGGUCUGAGAGGCCGACGAGGGAAUGUGUGAGGGAGGCACGGAGGAGAGGGCGAGAAGCGGCCGCAGUGGGGAGUGUUGGCCGCAGGGGGGAAUAUUGGUCCAGCAAUGCAAGCUCGAUGAAGAAAGGCUUCGGGUGGUAAGGCGGGUUUGGGGUGGAAGAACGCGUUCAGCAGGGUCCGGUCGGGGGGUGACGGUACCGGAAGAAUAAGCACCGGCUAACUACGUG